CUUGCCUCGUGGUUGACAGGGAGCGGAGAGAGUUGGAGGACAGAGUGGAUCAGAGACGAUUCGGGGACUAGAGAGCCUGUAGUCCAGCUGUCCGGAGAGGAGAGCUGUGGAGCCGGGAAACGUAUGAUCUGAGAAGGUGUGUUGGUGUCCUCCUUUCUGCUGCUGCUGCUGCCAGGAUGCAGUUCUCAGUCAAAUUGAGCGUCUGCCUGCUGGGCUUGGUUUUCGUCUCUCAGUUCCCUCAGCCAGCGCGGGGCCAAGUUUCGUCCCCGCGGAGAUUUCGCUCCAAAGUCCUGAGCCCCACCAAGCUGCACGCGUCGUGGAAAGAGCCCAAAGGAGCGUUUGACGGCUACAAGGUCAUUUACACGACGCAG